rnacentral:rRNA from 1 species
GGGUAAACCCGGGGAACUGAAACAUCUAAGUACCCGGAGGAAGAGAAAGAAAAAUCGAUUUCCUAAGUAGCGGCGAGCGAACGGGAAAGAGCCCAAACCAGAAACUUGUUUCUGGGGUUGUGGAUAGGUCAUAAAAGAAGAGGUAUCUUAAUCGAAGAGGGCUGGAACGCCCUACCAUAGAAGGUAAUAGUCCUGUAGGUAAAAAGAGAAAACUUCGAGAUCUAAUCCAGAGUACCACGAGACACGUGAAACCUUGUGGGAAGCAGGGAGGACCACCUCCCAAGGCUAAAUACUACCUAGUGACCGAUAGUGAAGCAGUACCGUGA